rnacentral:rRNA from 1 species
CACGCGCGCUACACUGACAGAGCCAGCGAGUACUCCCUUGGCCGGAAGGUCCGGGUAAUCUUAGAAANUCUGUCGUGCUGGGGAUAGACCAUUGCAAUUAUUGGUCUUCAACGAGGAAUCCCUAGUAAGCGCAAGUCAUCAGCUUGCGUUGAUUACGU